rnacentral:lncRNA from 1 species
CUUUAUAUACACCAAUCGGGGAAAAGCUUAAUCCUUCUCAGUAUUCCUUCGAUCUUCCCCUCCUUCCCUUUUCUAUUUUCAGUGAGAUUUCAACAAAGGAGCAGAGGCAACAGCAGCAGCAUAGGUGAGAGAGUGCCAUCUUUAGUUUUCUUCUCUUCUGACAAAAUCUCAAUCCUGAUGUAUAACAAGCAAAAAGAAUGGCAUCCUUGUGUCUUAUUCACGAGCGUUUGCCUGAGUGUAAGUGAGAAAAUGUCAUUGGCUGGUGAGAAGUUUUUGGUAUCUUUGUAUCCUCCUUUCCCUAAUUAAAGAAUCGCUGCUUUGGUUCAAAACCUUCGUCCUCUUAACACGAUGCAAUACAUCCUCUGUGUCAAAUACAUACGAGACCUGCAAGAUAUACCACACACACAAUUGCUUUAUAUGCUUAAAGUCGUUAUCAUAUGAACUCCACAGUGUUCAGCAGAGAAUAAGACAUUGUACCUUUGAAGAACUGCAUGUUAUCUUACACUCCAAACCGUUUAUAAUCUUAACUCCAUCCGUGGUGCAGAGCUCAUCGUCACCACCGUUUUUACGUUUAUUCCUGGAGGAAAAGAAGAGACAUCUGAUUAGUUUCCUCCAUUAUGGAAUAGUCCUUUGUAAAUGCUCUCUACUUAGAGUAUUUGAUAUUUGAUAUCUUUUAAAAAAAGAAAUAAAAUUAAAUAUCCAAAUUAGAUUAUAUUUUUAAAAUAAAAUAAUAAAAAUACAUAAAAAUAGUCAUAAAAAAUAAAUUAAUUAAUAUUGUUAAGUCUUCAGCAAAAUAAUAAACCCUAUACCCUAAAUACUAGACCCUAUACCCUAAAUUGGUGAGAAGUUUUUGGUAUCUUUGUAUCCUCCUUUCCCUAAUUAAAGAAUCGCUGCUUUGGUUCAAAACCUUCGUCCUCUUAACACGAUGCAAUACAUCCUCUGUGUCAAAUACAUACGAGACCUGCAAGAUAUACCACACACACAAUUGCUUUAUAUGCUUAAAGUCGUUAUCAUAUGAACUCCACAGUGUUCAGCAGAGAAUAAGACAUUGUACCUUUGAAGAACUGCAUGUUAUCUUACACUCCAAACCGUUUAUAAUCUUAACUCCAUCCGUGGUGCAGAGCUCAUCGUCACCACCGUUUUUACGUUUAUUCCUGGAGGAAAAGAAGAGACAUCUGAUUAGUUUCCUCCAUUAUGGAAUAGUCCUUUGUAAAUGCUCUCUACUUACCGGUUUAGAUAGAUUCGAGGAUUCUCUUUCACCUUAGCUUGGCUGGAAAGGAAUUGAUUCUGGAGGUAAGCUGCAAAAGUUGGGUCCAUGGAUAUGGAAGUCACAUCAGGCUUAUCAUGUCCAUAGUCCAGAAGCUGAAUAGAUAAUGUUGUUGGUGCUGAAAUCUCCUGCAGAAACAAAGGAUGUAAAUCAUAUGAAGGUCCUGCAUCAUAAGCCAGACUGGUCCAAACAGUGGAAGUAGCUCUUACACAUUCAAUGCGGUAUACUUCUUCAUCAGGAAGAAGAACACGAGCGUUUUCAUAAUAAACAUCAUCGAGGUACUUCUCAGGCUUUCUUGAUUUCUCAUAUGAAUACAGCUGUUGUAGUUUGCUGUCCAUCUCAUCAGCUGCUACUACUUGGAGCUGAAGAAUCAAAUUGGUUAGUUCAAUCACAAGUGAAUGAUAGAUGAAGAGAAGAGAAACCAUACAUGCUUGAUGAGCUUGUAGAUCAGUUUGUCUAAUGUGAAGAGAACAUAUGACUGUGUCCCAAUGAUUGCUCGGCAGCAGAUGAAGGACAUUUUAGCGGAGAUUGAGAUGGAUCAGGGAAUUCAGGAGACGAUUGCAAAGUUGCUAAAGGGCGAGGCAGUAAAAAAUGGAUAUACGUUGAAUCAAGGGCGGCUGUUAUAUAAGGGGAGUUUGGUGUUGCCAAAAACGUCGCAAUACAUUCCUCUCAUUUUACAAGAGUGCCAUGAUGGUUUGUUAGGAGGUCAUGCGGGAGUGUUAAAAACCCUAAAACGUGUUCGAGAAUGUUUUUACUGGCCCCAAUUGAGGAAACAUAUCAGUGAGUAUGUGGCUGCUUGCGAGGUUUGUCAGACGCAUAAGUAUUCCACAUUGUCUCCUGCUGGUUUGCUUCAACCAAUAGAGCUACCUACCAGGAUAUGGGAAGACAUUUCGAUGGAUUUUGUUGAGGGCUUACCUUCGUCACGAGGCGUAAAUGUUAUAUUGGUAGUGGUUGAUCGCUUGAGCAAAUAUUGUCACUUCUUGACACUGAAGCAUCCUUUCACAGCAGCAGAAGUGGCUCAGCAGUUUCUUUCUGAGAUUGUACGCCUACAUGGAUAUCCUAAGUCGAUUAUAUCAGAUAGAGAUAAGGUGUUUUUGAGUAACUUUUGGCGGGAAUGUUUUAAAGCUUCAGGCACGAAGUUGCGUUUUAGCACAGCUUUCCACCCUCAAUCAGAUGGACAGACUGAGGUAUUAAAUAGAUGCUUGGAAACGUAUCUAAGGUGCUUUGCGUCUACUCAUCCCAAGACGUGGGCUAAGUACUUAAUGUGGGCUGAAUUGUGGUACAAUACCUCUUACCAUACAGCAACACAGUGUUCUCCUUUCAAGCUGGUAUAUGGGCGUGAUCCACCGUCGUUAUUACGGUUUGAAGAAGGGUCCACACAAAACUUUGAGUUGGAAGUGAUGUUGAAAGAAAGAGAUGCAUUGUUGGAUGAUGUGAAGAACCAUUUGUUGCGUGCGCAGGAGAUUAUGAAAAACAAUGCUGAUAAACAUCGUCGAGAUUUGGAGUUCGAUGUUGGAUCAUUGGUUUAUUUGAAGCUGAGGCCGUAUAGACAGCAGUCGGUGCAGAGGCGUAUUUGUCAGAAGUUGGCUGCUCGUUACUAUGGGCCCUAUGAGGUGUUAGAGAGAAUUGGGAAAGUGGCUUAUCGCUUACGUUUACCGGUAGAGUCAAAGAUCCACCCAGUGUUUCAUGUGUCUCAAUUGAAACCGGUGGUAGGGCGUGGUAAAAUGGUUACAUCUUUACCACCGGUUCUGUCUGCGGAAGAGGAGUUGAUAGUGGAACCGUUGGAGUUGUUGGACUCUCGUUACAGUGGAGAGGGAUUUUUGGAGGUAUUGGUACAGUGGAAGAAUUUACCGGCGCAUGAGACUUCUUGGAUGAGGAUGAAGGAAUUUAAGACGCAGUUUCCAUCAUACGAGCUUGAGGGCAAGCUCGGUUUGCGAAAGGGGGGUAUUGAUAUGCCGUGGAGAGUAUACACUACGAGAAGGAAGAGAUUAUUGGAAGAAGAAGCUAGGAAGAGAUCAUUGGAGGAGGAAGCUUUACGUAAUUGAGGAAGAAGUUUAUUAAGUCAAACAUGGAAUAAAGGCAACAGAGUUUGUUACAGAUAAUUGUACAUGGACCUUAUACUAUAAAAGGACUCCAUUAGUUUGCAAAUGGGGGAUCGAGGAUUUGUACUUGGCUUAACUCUCCGGCUUGUGGAGAUUAAGAGUGGGUGGUUGGGAGGAUACUCAUCAAUAUACAUCUCAGUUCAUAACAGACUCCCAAAAAAUUUAGAGUUAAUAUAUAUGAAAAUAGGUCUCCAAAUUUUUCUUUAAAAUUUUUUAUUGAAAUUCUUAAUAAAUUGUUUAAGACCCCAAAAUCUGAGGGCACAUUUGACCCUGCCCAGAAUGUCAAAUGCACUUGCUAAAUAGUUGUUGUACAUGAAAUUUAUGUGUGUUUAUCCCUAGAAAAGGUCUUGCACUAACAGUGGUUUUAAUUCUUACUAAGGCACACUUGGUUACAUUUCACCUGAGCUCUCAAGAACAGGAAAGGCAAGUACAAGCUCUGAUGUAUUUGCACUUGGAGUGGUAAUGCUAGAGAUUACAUGUGGACGAAAACCCAUAUUGCCACGAGCAUCGCAAAGCAAGAUGGUUCUGAAUGACUGGGUGCUAGAGUGUUGGGAGAACGGAGAUAUAAUGCAGGUACUUGAUCAUAAGAUAGGGCAUGAGUAUAUUGAGAAGCAAGUGGCGUUGGUUUUAAAGCUUGGCCUACUCUGCUCACAUCCGGUAGCAGCCAUGAGGCCAAGCAUGUCCAGCGUCAUUCAAAAUUUGGAUAAUGUGGUACAGCUUCCUCAUGAAAGAUCAAGAAAUUAAAGGAGGUGGUGAAGCACCGGAUUCUCCUGCAUCCAGAUCCAUUACUCCAUUGACCUUUACAGAAUCGUUUCUCUCUCGUGGGCGGUAAAGACUAAAACCACACACUAACUUGAAAUCAUCUUUAUGUCCAAAAUUUGAGACUGUAUACUAACCAACAAUGGUUUAUAUUUUUGUUUUUUGUGGAACUUACUUUCAGUGCAUGCUUCUUGAUUAUCUUUGCUGGUUGAUUGUCACAAGUUUGUAGUUUGUAAACUUGGAAACGAGAAUGAAACAGUUGAAGCUGAUUAAUUCACAAAUUUUGCAUUCAUGUGACUAAUGUUGGAAAGAAUAGGUACCAAACAAAGAGAUGAACUUUAUGUUAAUGUUACAACAUACAAAAAGCUUUAUAUACACCAAUCGGGGAAAAGCUUAAUCCUUCUCAGUAUUCCUUCGAUCUUCCCCUCCUUCCCUUUUCUAUUUUCAGUGAGAUUUCAACAAAGGAGCAGAGGCAACAGCAGCAGCAUAGGUGAGAGAGUGCCAUCUUUAGUUUUCUUCUCUUCUGACAAAAUCUCAAUCCUGAUGUAUAACAAGCAAAAAGAAUGGCAUCCUUGUGUCUUAUUCACGAGCGUUUGCCUGAGUGUAAGUGAGAAAAUGUCAUUGGCUGGUGAGAAGUUUU